rnacentral:rRNA from 1 species
UACGGGGGGGGGCAAGCGUUGUUCGGAAUUACUGGGCGUAAAGGGCUCGUAGGUGGCCAACUAAGUCGGACGUGAAAUCCCCAGGCUCAACUUGGGAACUGCGUCCGAUACUGGAUGGCUUGAAUCCGGGAGAGGGAUGCAGAAUUCCAGGUGUAGCGGUGAAAUGCGUAGAUAUCUGGAGGAAUACCGGUGGCGAAGGCGGCAUCCUGGACCGGCAUUGACGCUGAGGAGCGAAAAGCCAGGGGAGCAAACAGG